UACAGAGGUCUCAAGCGUUGUUCGGAUUCAUUGGGCGUAAAGGGUGCGUAGGCGGCGCGGUAAGUCGGGUGUGAAAUCUUGGAGCUUAACUCCGAAACUGCAUUCGAUACUGCCGUGCUUGAGGACUGGAGAGGAGACUGGAAUUUACGGUGUAGCGGUGAAAUGCGUAGAUAUCGUAAGGAAGACCAGUGGCGAAGGCGGGUCUCUGGACAGUUCCUGACACUGAGGAGCGAAAGCAUGGGGAGCAAACAGG
rnacentral:rRNA from 1 species